rnacentral:misc_RNA from 1 species
CCCGCCGAAGCCACCUGUGAACUCUGUCUGAAGUAUGCAGUCUGAGACAAUUAUUAAAUUAAUUAAAACUUUCAACAACGGAUCUCUUGGUUCCGGCAUCGAUGAAGAACGCAGCGAAAUGCGAUAACUAAUGUGAAUUGCAGAAUUCAGUGAAUCAUCGAGUCUUUGAACGCACAUUGCGCCCUCUGGUAUUCCGGAGGGCAUGCCUGUCCGAGCGUCAUUGCUGCCCUCCAGCCCGGCUGGUGUGUUGGGCCCGCCCUUCCCGGGGCGGGCCCGAAAGGCAGCGGCGGCACCGCGUCCGGUCCUCGAGCGUAUGGGGCUUUGUCACCCGCUCUUGUAGGCCCGGCCGGCGCCAGCCGACCCCCUCAAUCUAUUUCAGGUUGACCUCGGAUCAGGUAGGGAUACCCGCUGAACUUAAGCAUAUCAAUAAGCGGAGGAAGAAACCAACCGGGAUUGCCCUAGUAACGGCGAGUGAAGCGGCAAGAGCUCAAAUUUGAAAGCUGGCCUCGGGGUCCGCAUUGUAAUUUGUAGAGGAUGCUUCGGGAGCGGUCCCCAUCUAAGUGCCCUGGAACGGGCCGUCAUAGAGGGUGAGAAUCCCGUAUGGGAUGGUGCCCGCGCCCGUGUGAAGCUCCUUCGACGAGUCGAGUUGUUUGGGAAUGCAGCUCUAAUUGGGUGGUAAAUUU